UGUAGUGUGGCAUAAUGGUUUGAGCAUUGGACUGUCAUUCUGGAGACCAGGUUUCGAGUCCCAGCUCGGCCA